CCGGAUUUGAAAGAUAUGUCCGGAUUACCGUCCGGACAUGAGAAAUGUCAGGAUUUUUUUCUUUACUAAAAAAAUGGAAAAUACUAGGCCCAACGGUGGGAAAUUUCAUACUGGCAGCACCUAGUGCCCCACCUCUCAUCAUCUCAGCACAGAGAACAAAAGUGAAUUGUUCGGGAAGCCAGUGUUAAUGUUUGCAGCUUAUCUUCAGGUACCAAUACCAUGUGUAAUGUGUAUACUGUUUAGUGCUCCAUUUCUCAUCAUCUCCAAGCAUAGAGAAGGUGCCAUUUGUUUGGGAAGUUACUGUUAAAUUGCUUAAAUCUCUAUAAAAUGCCAAUUUAUAGUGAAUGGAACGAAAAAUUUGAAAAUUAAUGUGAAAGAAUGAAGUAAUAGAUGAUGAAUAGAAAAUAGAGGAAUAUUUACUUAAAAAAGAAAAACAGUAAGAAGAUGAUGAAAAAGACAUUAAAUUUAGAUUGGAUGAUUUAGGAUGCUGUAUUAAAUAAAUAAAAAUGAAAAACUAGAGGCCAAUACAAUUGGAAGUUGACAACAAAAUAUAAAAAAUAACAUGUAGGUAGGUACAAUGUACAAUUACGAAUGCAUUUAAUAAAAUCAAUAUUUAAUUGGG
rnacentral:lncRNA from 1 species